UACGGAGGGAGCUAGCGUUGUUCGGAUAUACUGGGCGUAAAGCGCACGUAGGCGGAUUGCUAAGUCAGGGGUGAAAUCCUGGAGCUCAACUCCAGAACUGCCCUUGAUACUGGCGGUCUCGAGUCCGGGAGAGGUGAGUGGAACUGCGAGUGUAGAGGUGAAAUUCGUAGAUAUUCGCAAGAACACCAGUGGCGAAGGCGGCUCACUGGCCCGGUACUGACGCUGAGGUGCGAAAGCGUGGGGAGCAAACAGG
rnacentral:rRNA from 1 species